CCUACGGGAGGCAGCAGUGGGGAAUAUUGCACAAUGGGCGCAAGCCUGAUGCAGCGACGCCGCGUGCGGGAUGACGGCCUUCGGGUUGUAAACCGCUUUUGAUCGGGAGCAAGCCUUCGGGUGAGUGUACCUUUCGAAUAAGCACCGGCUAACUACGUGCCAGCAGCCGCGGUAAUACGUAGGGUGCAAGCGUUAUCCGGAAUUAUUGGGCGUAAAGGGCUCGUAGGCGGUUCGUCGCGUCCGGUGUGAAAGUCCAUCGCUUAACGGUGGAUCCGCGCCGGGUACGGGCGGGCUUGAGUGCGGUAGGGGAGACUGGAAUUCCCGGUGUAACGGUGGAAUGUGUAGAUAUCGGGAAGAACACCAAUGGCGAAGGCAGGUCUCUGGGCCGUUACUGACGCUGAGGAGCGAAAGCGUGGGGAGCGAACAGGAUUAGAUACCCUGGUAGUCCACGCCGUAAACGGUGGAUGCUGGAUGUGGGGCCCGUUCCACGGGUUCCGUGUCGGAGCUAACGCGUUAAGCAUCCCGCCUGGGGAGUACGGCCGCAAGGCUAAAACUCAAAGAAAUUGACGGGGGCCCGCACAAGCGGCGGAGCAUGCGGAUUAAUUCGAUGCAACGCGAAGAACCUUACCUAGGCUUGACAUGCACUGGACCGAUCCAGAGAUGGGUUUUCCUUUUUGGCUGGUGUGCAGGUGGUGCAUGGUUGUCGUCAGCUCGUGUCGUGAGAUGUUGGGUUAAGUCCCGCAACGAGCGCAACCCUCGCCCUGUGUUGCCAGCACGUCGUGGUGGGAACUCACGGGGGACCGCCGGGGUCAACUCGGAGGAAGGUGGGGAUGACGUCAGAUCAUCAUGCCCCUUACGUCCAGGGCUUCACGCAUGCUACAAUGGCCGGUACAACGGGAUGCGACACGGCGACGUGGAGCGGAUCCCUGAAAACCGGUCUCAGUUCGGAUUGGAGUCUGCAACCCGACUCCAUGAAGGCGGAGUCGCUAGUAAUCGCGGAUCAGCAACGCCGCGGUGAAUGCGUUCCCGGGCCUUGUACACACCGCCCGUCAAGUCAUGAAAGUGGGUAGCACCCGAAGCCGGUGGCCUAACCCUUUGUGGAUGGAGCCGUCUAAGGUGAGACUCGUGAUUGGGACUAAGUCGUAACAAGGUAGCCGUACCGGAAGGUGCGGCUG
rnacentral:rRNA from 1 species